rnacentral:lncRNA from 1 species
GGCCUCUGUACAUUACAGAGGCUGGCAUUGAACUUGGAUCCUCCUGCCUCAGCUUCCUGAGUCUCUGGGAAUACUGGCAUGGGCCAGUGCUACUGGCUGAUGUUGCCUUUAGAGGCCUUUUUGCCCUACAAUUUGGACCUCCAACUUAUGUGUGCCCAGUUAUUUUUCUGGGUUCCUCAGCAGUCUAUAUGGCACUUAGACUCUCUCCUGAAGAUUGGGUAGGUUUUAAUUUGAAUUUUGGCUCAACCCUAUAAUAACUGUGCAACCCAAAAACUGAUUUGAUGCCUCUGAACAAUCAAUUCAUCUGUGAAAUGGGAGCAUGAGUUGCUACUUCUAUCCGAAUUAAGUGAUAAACAUAGAAAAUGACAGCUGUUAGCCUGUGUGUGCCCAUGCUGUUCCUGUAACCUAGAGCCCAGUUGGACUCCCAGCUGGUUGACUCUUGCUCAUCCUUAAAUAAUACUGACAAAAACAAACAACUGGCCAGGUGCAGUGGUGCAAGCCUGUAAUCCCAGUGGCUAAGGAGGCUGAAACAGGAGGAUCACAACAAGUUCAAAGCCAGCCUCAACAACAGUGAGGUGCUGAGCAACUCAGUGAGACCCUGUCUUUAAAUAACACAAAAUAGUGCUGGGGAUGUGACUCAGUGGCCGAGUGCCCCUAAAUUCAAUCCCUGACACCCCCCCCAAAACAAACACACAAACUGAUAAGCACUCUUCUAUAGCACUUCAUGUAUAUUAGCUUGUUCUCACAGUAGUCCUAUAGGAUGGAUGCUAUUUAUUAUCCCCAUUUUACAGAUAAGUAAACUGAGGUUAAACCUAAAUAGCUAGGCUCCAUAGCCUGUAUCUUUAACCACUAUCUUUACGCAAUGACUCUUCAAUAAUAUAAUUAAUACAAUAAUAGUUCAAAUAACAAGAUCACAGAACACGAGGCUGCAGUUGCAGCUAAUCCUUCCUGAGGGCUUGCUGGGGCUAGGCCAAAGCAACUGCUAUGCAAGCUUUUUGUAUGAGUCAAGAUGUAACAGGAGAGAAAAUGGAGGCUCUGAAAGGCAGGGUCACAGAGGGUGGCAGGACCAGGUCUAAACCGGGGCUUGGCUGAUGAUAAAUCUUUUGGUGAUGACUAAUCGGGAUUUCCUUCUCACCACACCCCUCCCUGGCAGACAGAGCAGCUUUAGUCCUCUGUCUUGUCCUUAGGCUCUGUUACUUCUUGCUGCCAGGCCUUUGCACUGCUGUGCCCACUGCCUGGAGCCCUCCUUUUGUCUCUGUGCCCCUCCUUAAGACUAGAUGAGGCUGUCAGUUUUAUGAUCUCAGAACUAAUUGCACUUUCUCAUAACAGUCACUAUCCAGGACAGUCACGUUCUCUAGUUCUGUCUUCCUGAUUUUUUCCAUUUUUUUUUUUAUUGGUGCAUUAUAUUUGUACUGUCUCCUUGAUUUCUUAAUCCUGGGCAUCCCCAAGCCUUAGGUUUUGGUCUUCCUGUCUGUCCCACUCAAGCCAUAAAUUACUCUGUCUUGAGGCUAUCAACAUCUAAAUUUCCAUCUUCAGCCCAAACACAGCCCCUGAACUCCAGACUCCUACAUCCUGCAUCCUGGGGCAGUGGAGGUUCUCAGGCUUCGCACAUCCUAAACUGAGCUUCUGACCUUUCUCCCAAACCCACUCUUCCCUAAAUCAACAGUAUCUCUUCCAGUUAUUGAGGCCAAACAUCACUGGGUCUCCUUCGACUUCUUUAUACCCACUAGUUUACAUUCUGUCUCAGCCAUUCUGCCUUUCCAAAACCCACAGAAGCAGCCGAGCUUGGUGGUACACGCCUGUAAUCCCAGUGGCUCAGGAAGCUAAGACUGGAGGAUGGAGAGUUCAAAGCCAACCUCAGCAAAGCGAGGCGCUAAGCAACUCAGUGAGACCCUGUCUCUAAAUAAAAUACAAAAUAGGGCUGGGGAUGUGGCUUAGUGGUAGAGUGCCCCUGAGUUCAAUCCUUGAUGUCCCCCCCCAAAAAAAAAAAACCCACCAAAGCAUUAAAUGGUGGAAGAACCAAGGUGGAGGGUUCGUAAAGAUAUGCACAUUUAUGUUUAGUCAGGCUUGAGGGCCAAAGUUAUGCGGUAAAUCUGGUUCUUCAGGUUCAUUGGCAUCCUCAUGGCACCAGGGACCAGAGCUUUGGGGAACAGUUUCCCUUUGGCUUCUGUUCUAAGCAUAAUUGCCUGUAGUAAGCUAAGAUAAAGAAAUAAAAAACUAGUUAGCAGGGCAAUGUUUAAGUCUCCUUCACCUUUUUCAAUUUUAGCUGGGCUGUAAUCCCAACAGCUCAGGAGGCUGAGACAGGAGGAUAGCAAGUUGAAGCCAGUCUCAGCAAUUUAGCAAGACCCUGUCUUAAAAUAAAUUAAAAAUGGUUUGGGGAUGUGACUCAGUGGUUAAAUGCCUGUAGGUUCAAUCCCUGGUGAAAAAAAAAAAUACAUAUAAAAUCUGGAUGAGAUGUUAUGUUGCCUGAGAUUUGAUUUAAAUAAUGGGGUUAGGAGGAAUAAACAAAAUAAGGUUGGCCAUAUGUUGACAAUUACUGAAACUGGGUCAGGGGUAUUGGAAAGCCCCAUUCUUGCUGGGCCAGGUGGUCCAAGUUUGUAACUCCAGCAACUCUCAAGCUGGGGUAGGAGGAUCUCAAGUUAGUUCAAGGCCAGUCUCAACAAUUUAGUGGGACCCUGUCUCAAAAUAAAAAAGGGCCGGAC